rnacentral:rRNA from 1 species
GAUGAACGCUGGCGGCGUGCCUAAUACAUGCAAGUCGAGCGAACAGACGAGGAGCUUGCUCCUCUGACGUUAGCGGCGGACGGGUGAGUCACACGUGGAUAACCUACCUAUCAGACUGGGAUACCUUCGGGAAACCGGAUCUAAUACCGGAUAAUAUAUUGAACCGCAUGGUUCAAUAGUGAAAGACGGUUUUGCUGUCACUUCUCGAUGGAUCCGCGCCGCAUUAGCUAGUUGGUAAGGUAACGGCUUACCAAGGCAACGAUGCGUAGCCGACCUGAGAGGCGGAUCGGCCACACGGGAACUGAGACGCGGUCCAGACUCCUACGGGAGGCAGCAGUAGGGAAUCUUCCGCAAUGGGCGAAAGCCUGACGGAGCAACGGCGCGUGAGUGAUGAAGGUCUUCGGAUCGUAAAACUCUGUUAUGAGGGAAGAACAAAUGUGUAAGUAACUGUGCACGUCUUGACGGUACCUAAACAGAAAGCCACGGCUAACUACGUG